GUAUAGACUCAGCAAUCGGUGUGUGUGUAUGGACUCAGCAGUCUGUGUGUGUGCGCAUGUACUCAGCAGUCUGUGUGUGUGUAUGCACUCAGCAGUCUAUGUGUCUGUGUUUGUAUGGACUCAGCAGUCUGUGUGUCUAUGUGUGGGUGUAUGGACUCAGCAGUCUGUGUGUCUGUGUGUUUGUAUAUAUGAUCAGGAGUCUGUGUGUUUAUGGACUCAGCAGUCUGUGUGUGUGUGUAUGGACU